GGACUGAGACACGGCCCAGACUCCUACGGGAGGCAGCAGUGGGGAAUUUUCCGCAAUGGGCGCAAGCCUGACGGAGCAAUACCGCGUGAGGGAGGAAGGUCUGUGGAUUGUAAACCUCUUUUGAUAGGGAAGAAGUUCUGACGGUACCUAUCGAAUCAGCAUCGGCUAACUCCGUGCCAGCAGCCGCGGUAAUACGGAGGAUGCAAGCGUUAUCCGGAAUUAUUGGGCGUAAAGCGUCCGUAGGUGGUUAAUCAAGUCUAUUGUCAAAGCCUGGGGCUUAACCCUGGAGAGGCGGUGGAAACUGGUUAACUUGAGUGCGGUAGGGGUAGAGGGAAUUCCCAGUGUAGCGGUGAAAUGCGUAGAUAUUGGGAAGAACGCCGGUGGCGAAAGCGCUCUGCUGGGCCUGCACUGACACUGAGGGACGAAAGCUAGGGGAGCGAAAUGGAUUAGAUACCCCAGUAGUC
rnacentral:rRNA from 1 species